GCCCGAAGUAGUAGUUCAGAUGCCACGUUAUUGACUAUCAAGAAAAUUCAUUUUGAGCAGGCUCUAGAAAAAAUCUCUCCAUCUGUCUCAAGCAAGCAAAAACAAUACUACCAACUUUUGUCAGAAAGCUUCAAAGCAGUGCGAGAGUAGACUUGGGAAAAUGGACUAUUUGUUGAUAGUUUUUGAGAUAAUCUGAAUUUUUUUUUAAUUUAUAUUUUUUAUAAUCAAUUUUGUAGAUAUUGUGGAUUGAUUUCUAGUUGCUACUAUGCGUGAGAUUGCAACAAAUAAUCUGGAGAUAAUUUAUCUGACCUGAAUAUAGGUUUCAUCCCUAUGCUAGGAAAAGAUUUUGUAGUAGUGAAGAAUGAUGUAUUUGGCUUACAUGUCAUUUCAUAGAGAAGGUUUGUUCUCAUUACUUGGCUAACAUGGUACUUCAAUUUUCAGAA